rnacentral:rRNA from 1 species
GACGUAGGGGGCAAGCGUUGUUCGGAAUUAUUGGGCGUAAAGCGCUCGUAGGCGGGACAGGAAGUUCGUGUUGAAAGACCUCGGCUCAACUGAGGGACCGGCUCGAAUACUCUUGUUCUUGAGGCAAUCAGAGGGUGAUGGAAUUCCCGGUGUAGCGGUGAAAUGCGUAGAUAUCGGGAGGAACAUCAGUGGCGAAGGCGGCCAUCUGGGACAACACUGACGCUGAGGCACGAAAGCGUGGGGAGCAAACAGG